rnacentral:rRNA from 1 species
AGCGAACGCUGGCGGCAGGCUUAACACAUGCAAGUCGAGCGGACCUUUCGGGGUCAGCGGCGGACGGGUGAGUAGCGCGUGGGAACGUGCCUUCUGGUCUGGAAUAACCCUGGGAAACUAGGGCUAAUACCGGAUACGCCCUUUUGGGGAAAGGUUUACUGCCGGAAGAUCGGCCCGCGUCUGAUUAGCUAGUUGGUGGGGUAACGGCCUACCAAGGCGACGAUCAGUAGCUGGUCUGAGAGGAUGAUCAGCCACACUGGGACUGAGACACGGCCCAGACUCCUACGGGAGGCAGCAGUGGGGAAUAUUGGACAAUGGGCGCAAGCCUGAUCCAGCCAUGCCGCGUGAGUGAUGAAGGCCUUAGGGUUGUAAAGCUCUUUUAUCCGGGACGAUAAUGACGGUACCGGAGGAAUAAGCCCCGGCUAACUUCGUGCCAGCAGCCGCCGU